UUUGAUCCUGCCAGUAGUCAUAUGCUUCGUUCAAGGAUUAAGCCAUGCAUGUCUCAGCGCAMACGGAACAAGAGUUGGUCUGUGAAUGGCUCCUUACAUCAGCAGUCAUCUAUGUGAUAGAGUGUGCUUGGCCAAGCUGCAUGGCCCAAUGGACAUCCACAAUAACCUUGUGGCUAAUACACGCAAGCAGAUGUCUGCCACAUCAUGUGGGGUUAGCAGUGCUCUCCUCACAGUGGUGGACUGCACACAGCUCCUGAAAGACCAGCGCCAUUCCAAUGGCAGUGUUGACUUGGUGAAUCAGGCUGUUCCAAAGGGACAUUGCACUGGCAGCUAAGAAGCCUGUUUACAGGCAUGCUUGAUCACAUGAACUUCUGACCUAUCAGCUUUGACUGUGGUGCAGUGGACCACAGUGGCCUUGACGGGUAACGGAGAAUCAGGGUUCGAUUCCGGAGAGGGAGCCUGAGAGACGGCUACCACUACCAAGGUGGGCAGCAGGCGCGCAAAUUGCCCAAUACAAAGCCAGCUUGUGAGGCAGCAACGAACUGCAGCAAUCAUGCCCACUCAUGUGGGUUUGACUUGGAAUGGAUGCUAUCCAAACACAGCCAUGAGCAACAAGUGGAGGGCAAGUCUGGUGCCAGCAGCUGCGGUAAUUCCAGCUCCAUUGGCGUAUACUAACAUUGCUGCUGUUAAAACACUCGUAGUCUGCCACAGGGAUUCAGGUCUGGCAGAUGGCUGGCUGGUGGUGACUUGUUCAUAGCCAGCUGGGCAAAACCUCUGUCAGUAUGUUCCUGAUCCCACUACUGGAUGCUGAAGCACUCCUGCAUGAAGCCCUCUUCAGUGAGGGUCAAAGCUAUCUUGCAGUGAACGCAUGUCUUCUGGGCAGUCAAGGGCAGGCCUUGUGCCUUUGCUACCACAGCCUUGGCCCAUAAUCGGAGUUCAGCAUCAGAGCAACCCUGGUAAACUCAGUGUGCUUCAAGCAACCUUUCUUAUGGCUUGCAUGCCAUCCAGUGAAUUGCAAAGCAACGAUCGAGCUUGGCUGAGAGUUGUGCUGGCCUUGGUGCCAACUUCGAGCAAUGUGGGAUGCAUCCCUGGCUGUGGUCCUGCCUUCGGGCUUGUCCCACUGUCCAGGUGGUGUGUCACCAAACGGACAUGAUGGAAGUGUUCAGAGUGGAAGGUAUUGCAGCGCCAGAGGUGAAAUUCUUAGACCGCUGCAAGACCAACUGCAGCGAAGGCGUUCUGCAAGAGCACGUUCGUCGAUCAAGAAUGAGAGUGUGGGGAGCAAAGAUGAUCAGACACCGUCGUAGUCCACUACAGUAAACCAUGCCAGCAAGGCUUUGGUGAAGCAAGAUCAUGUACUCCAUCAGUGCCAUGCCCCCUACAAAGAGAAAUCCACAGCCUGUGGGUUCAGGGGGGAGUACUGUCGCAAGGCAGAAACUUAAAGGAAUUGACGGAAUGGCACCACAAGGCGUGGAAUAUGCGGCUUAAUUUGACUCAACACGGGGAAUGUUACCAGGUCAGGACACUGUCAGGAUGGACAGAUUGAGAGCUCUUUCUUGAUCCAGUGGAUGGUGGUGCAUGGCCGCUCCUGAUCGGUGGAGUGAUUUGUCUGGUUGAUUCCGAUAACGGGUGAGAUAUCUGCCUUCCAAUAGCCCCAGUCACGCAUCUGUAGGGAUGCCUUCAGGUGAAGCCUCGGUGGAUCCUGUUGGUGCCUGAGUGACAUGGGUUCAGCUUCUCUGAGGUGCUGUGUCAGCCACCAAUGGCACGCAUGCUAGAGCCAACAGCAGGUCUGUGAUGCUCCCAGAUGUCCUGGGCCGCACGCGCAUUACAUUGACACAGUGAAGGUGUUAAGCUUCCUUGUGAAGCCCAUCUCAGAAGUGAGUUGGAAACCAUCCAAAUCUGUGCUGUACUGGGGAUAGAUGAUUGCAACUAUCUGCCUUGAACGAGGAAUGCCUAGUAUGCUUGUGUCAUCAGCACAAACAGAUUGUGUCCCUGCCAUUUGUACACACCGCCCGUCGUUGCUACCGAUGAGGGCAGGGCAGAGUCAUCAGGAGAUAGCAACUCCCUUGUGGACUGCCAUUGAAAUUGGGCAAUGCCCUGCCCUUAGAGGAAGCAAAAGUCGUAACAAGGUUGUUGUAGGUGAACCUGCAGAAGGAUCAACGGU
rnacentral:rRNA from 1 species